GAUGAACGCUGGCGGCGUGCCUAAUACAUGCAAGUCGAGCGAACAGACGAGGAGCUUGCUCCUCUGACGUUAGCGGCGGACGGGUGAGUAACACGUGGAUAACCUACCUAUAAGACUGGGAUAACUUCGGGAAACCGGAGCUAAUACCGGAUAAUAUAUUGAACCGCAUGGUUCAAUAGUGAAAGACGGUUUUGCUGUCACUUAUAGAUGGAUCCGCGCCGCUUUAGCUAGUUGGUAAGGUAACGGCUUACCAAGGCGACGAUGCUUAGCCGACCUGAGAGGGUGAUCGGCCACACUGGAACUGAGACACGGUCCAGACUCCUACGGGAGGCAGCAGUAGGGAAUCUUCCGCAAUGGGCGAAAGCCUGACGGAGCAACGCCGCGUGAGUGAUGAAGGUCUUCGGAUCGUAAAACUCUGUUAUUAGGGAAGAACAAAUGUGUAAGUAACUAUGCACGUCUUGACGGUACCUAAUCAGAAAGCCACGGCUAACUACGUG
rnacentral:rRNA from 1 species